UUAUUUUUAAUAUUACAUAUAGUAUUAAAUAAAUACUAUUAUAUAAUAUUAAAUAAAAUAUAUGUUAACGUUCAUCCAGCAAGAAUGAACAACGAGAAACCAGUUUUCCGAAGUAGGUAAUUAUCAUGCUUACGCAAUUUCAUUCUCCUGCCUCGUUGAAUGAACGAAACUUAACGCGAAUCACAUUUAAUCCUGUCUAAGUAUUUUCCGAACCGGACCGUGACCUAUUUCGUGUUUCAGAGUCAGCACAAAAUCCGAUCUCUCAGAGUAGUUCAAAGUCAACUUUGAUUUAACCCAAAUACUUAGUAACUCCAAACGCAUUGCUCGUAUGUAACGAAUGCGUGAAAAUUCUACAUCGAAUUUGUCUACAUCACUUACGAUCAUCAUCGUGGUAAUUUUUAUUUGUUGAUCGAUGUUUAUAAACCAGACUAUCUAGCUUCAAAAAUCCAUAAAAGAGAAAUAUUGACAGGUUUAUAGACGUUGAAAAUAGAUUAAUCGCUUAUGAAGGAUGUUAAAGUUGAUUUAAAAUAAAUAUUUAUAACAGCGGCCGUAGGAAAGUCUGGUCGUUGUAAACGAUUGAUGUUUUACCGUCACAUUUCUAAAAAUAAACAGCUUCUGUUUAAAAACCAACUUUGAAACCUGAGGAAUGUAACCUUGGGACAAAUAUUCCGUUAAUCACAGCCCAAGUUCACGUUCUUCCUUCAAAUCGAAAAAUUUUCCUUCUCUUCUUUUAAAUUUUCAACAUAAUUCUAAUUAUAACUGCUAAAGAUAAUAGUAAGAAAAGAUGAAAAAUAUGACGCGUCGUUCAUAAGCUUCUUUUGAUUCGAAGGUGAACCGAACGAUCGUUUCAAAGGUGAUCCGAUUUCGCGCCAAAUAAGUAUACGAGAAAAGUCGUCUGAAAUGUGAAAGAAAUGGAAGGUUCCUAUAGGAAAUUUAAUCGCAUUAUCCGUAAUCGAACGCCAUUGACGAUUGUUUAAAUAACGACACAGAAGGGACAGUAUUAUUUCCUUGGCUUUUUCCUCGCUUCUUCUUUGUCCGCGAUUUCCGGGGGACGCGACGGGGCUUGCAUGGCUGGACGCUCCUCGCUUCUCCGGCUGCCCCCACCUCUCAUCCCGGCGCCUAGCGUCGCAUCAGGCAGUGGAAGGGAUCGGGAAAUGCAAGGACUUGGAACUUCGAGCGUUUCAGUUGCGUUCGAGCUCUCGGCUGUGUUGGGUCGAGUUCGAGUUGAAUUCUAUUCGGUUCUCAAAUGAAAUCUCAGUGAACACGACGUCGACGAAUGAUUGUUCCCCCCAGAAUACCGCGAAAGUGAGAAAGAAAGAGAGAGAGAGUGUGUGUGAGAGAGAGAAAGAGAGAGAGA